GAUGAACGCUGGCGGCGUGCCUAAUACAUGCAAGUCGAGCGAACGGACGAGAAGCUUGCUUUUCUGAUGUUAGCGGCGGACGGGUGAGUAACACGUGGAUAACCUACCUAUAAGACUGGGAUAACUUCGGGAAACCGGAGCUAAUACCGGAUAAUAUUUUGAACCGCAUGGUUCAAAAGUGAAAGACGGUCUUGCUGUCACUUAUAGAUGGAUCCGCGCUGCAUUAGCUAGUUGGUAAGGUAACGGCUUACCAAGGCAACGAUGCAUAGCCGACCUGAGAGGGUGAUCGGCCACACUGGAACUGAGACACGGUCCAGACUCCUACGGGAGGCAGCAGUAGGGAAUCUUCCGCAAAGGGCGAAAGCCUGACGGAGCAGCGCCGCGUGAGUGAUGAAGGUCUUCGGAUCGUAAAACUCUGUUAUUAGGGAAGAACAUAUGUGUAAGUAACUGUGCACAUCUUGACGGUACCUAAUCAGAAAGCCACGGCUAACUACGUG
rnacentral:rRNA from 1 species